rnacentral:ncRNA from 1 species
GGCCACUGAGGACGGAACUGGCAGCCGUCGCCGGAUGAUCGCGAGGUCUGAUUAGGAGAUGCAGGAUAGUCACCCUGCCUUGGCU